rnacentral:rRNA from 1 species
AUUGAACGCUGGCGGCAGGCCUAACACAUGCAAGUCGAGCGGAUGAAGGGAGCUUGCUCCUGGAUUCAGCGGCGGACGGGUGAGUAAUGCCUAGGAAUCUGCCUGGUAGUGGGGGAUAACGUCCGGAAACGGGCGCUAAUACCGCAUACGUCCUGAGGGAGAAAGUGGGGGAUCUUCGGACCUCACGCUAUCAGAUGAGCCUAGGUCGGAUUAGCUAGUUGGUGGGGUAAAGGCCUACCAAGGCGACGAUCCGUAACUGGUCUGAGAGGAUAAUCAGUCACACUGGAACUGAGACACGGUCCAGACUCCUACGGGAGGCAGCAGUGGGGAAUAUUGGGCAAUGGGCGAAAGCCUGAUCCAGCCAUGCCGCGUGUGUGAAGAAGGUCUUCGGAUUGUAAAGCACUUUAAGUUGGGAGGAAGGGCAGUAAGUUAAUACCUUGCUGUUUUGACGUUACCAACAGAAUAAGCACCGGCUAACUUCGUG